ensembl:lncRNA
CACUUUUGUUGCCAGUGGUUUAGACAUUAAUGGCUGUGUGUUGAGCUAUUUUGAGGGGACAGCAAAUGUACACUGUUAUACAAGCUGUACACUCACUACUUUACAUUGUAGCAAAGUGUCAUUUCUUCAGUGUUGUCACAUGAAAAGUUAUACUCAAAUAUUUACAAAAAUGUGAGGGGUGUACUCACUUUUGUGAUAUACUGUAUCUACUCUACGAACAAGCAUCAGACAGGGUGAUUGGAGCACAUGUUACACUGCACACCGACGUGUUCAAGAAGGACUCUCUAUUGCCGGACAGAUAGUUCUACGAGGCAACCACAUUACUAUGCCACGGGCAGCUCAGAAACAGACUUUGAUGUUCGCCCACGAAGGGCAUCAAGGGAUAGUAAAAAUAAAACAGACUGCGCACAAAAGUGUGGUGGCCAAACAUUGAUAAAGAGGUUGAACUGCUUGUGAAGUCCUGUGCAGCAUGUCAAGUCAAUGGCACACCACCAGCCAGGAGCUGCACCACAAGAGAACACCAUUGGGCUUGCUGAUGCUGAAAGGAAGGAGACGGGCUGACAGAACGCAGACAGAUCUAGGAGAGCAACUGAAAGCACAAUCCAACAAGGUUUGACCUCUCCUUUGACCCCCAGUACAGCACUGAAUCCUCGGGUUUGACAGUUAGUUUUACUUUGACCACCGACACUCUGAGUAAAGGAUAAAAGGCUGAUGACCUCACCUGUUGUCAUCAUGUCACCAAACAGCGCUCCAAAUAUGGCAGGCAGCAGUGUGUAUGGCUUCUGGAGUUGCCGUGUUCCUGAUGGGACUGACAGCUGUCUGUCUCUGCAGAGGACCGGUGAUUUGUUGAUGGGAGCUGUGAGCAGUACAGGCAUGUUUGAAUUAAGGGAUGCUGGAAUCUAUUCUCUCAUCACCUAUGUACCGUCCAAAUUACUGCCCUCGUGAGAAUUGAAGAGAAUUGAAAGUAAUCUGAAAAAGACAAUUCUGAUACGUACCACAUAUACAGCUCAAUCCCUGACAGACCAGCAACCUCAGCCCAGCAUGAUGGGUUUUACAGUCUGCAGACACACUGACACUACACCUCUGGCUUUCUGUAGCUGAAUCUUACAGAAACACUCUUGCUUUCAGGAUGUCCUUUAUUUAUCAAACAUCAUGUCACUGUAAAUAAGUAUCUACUAUGUCUACUGCUGUACCGUUUCUAAUCAUAAGCGACAAUAGAGGCCACCAUCCAAUGGCAAAAUGUGUAGAACUGCAGGAAAUUAGCUUUAAAACAAGUAGACUUGUUUUAAACGAGUAGACUUGCAGUACUCUCCCCGCCAUGAGGUGGGCCACUAAAAUGUUUUGCCUGCGAGGUGGGCAAAUCUCGCAUAGGGCCCCCAAAAUGCAAGAAACUGCCCUUAUCUACUGUAUCUCAUAUGUACACCUAGUUUCUGUUACAUGCCUAUCCAUAAUGAUGGUUACUCUGUUAGUGUUUUUAUUCAUUGGUUUUGGAGGGGUCCGGGGCAUACUCCCCUUUAAACAUUUUUGUUAUUCCCCCCUCCGGUAAAUGCUAAAUAUAUACUGUAUUUAUAUAUAUUCUGUCAUGUGUUUUAUACUGUUGGAUAGAAUGAAUUAAUACAAAUGUAUUUGAAAUCCAAAUAGAUAGAAAUAUAAUAUUUUAGUUUUAAUAAUGUUUACACUGUUGGCAACAUCAGAUAAUCAAAACUGAAAAUGAUAGAUUUCCUAAAUACUAUUAAAUCUACCCAUUUCCCCAUGUUUACCUGUUAUUUUCCAAAUUCCCAAUUUAACUUCAGCACUUCAGUCUCCCCUCCAAUGUGCAGUGUUGUAGACACGUUCUAGCAUUUUGGUCCAAUGACUGCGGAGCUGUUAAGACGAAAUUGGUGUGAGGCCAUGUCAUGAAAGUAAUUUUUUUUCUCCAGUUAUCAUGGGAGAUUUGCCUCGUUUUACCUUCCUGAUAAGACUCUUGACUUACAGUAAGUACAAAAUCAUAUGCUUUUUUGAAAUGUUCUCUGUAAAAAAAGCAAGCAGAA